UCCACUCCACCGUUUGAGUCCUCAUGUCGGAUGGAGGCUCCAGGUGACAUGGCAGGAUGACGUUAUCACCGACUGUUACUGUAACUGGUUUGUCUGAGCCAAUCACAUCAGACUCUCC